GAUGAACGCUGGCGGCGUGCCUAAUACAUGCAAGUCGAGCGAACGGACGAGAAGCUUGCUUCUCUGAUGUUAGCGGCGGACGGGUGAGUAACACGUGGAUAACCUACCUAUAAGACUGGGAUAACUUCGGGAAACCGGAGCUAAUACCGGAUAAUAUUUUGAACCGCAUGGUUCAAAAGUGAAAGACGGUCUUGCUGUCACUUAUAGAUGGAUCCGCGCUGCAUUAGCUAGUUGGUAAGGUAACGGCUUACCAAGGCAACGAUGCAUAGCCGACCUGAGAGGGUGAUCGGCCACACUGGAACUGAGACACGGUCCAGACUCCUACGGGAGGCAGCAGUAGGGAAUCUUCCGCAAUGGGCGAAAGCCUGACGGAGCAACGCCGCGUGAGUGAUGAAGGUCUUCGGAUCGUAGAACUCUGUUAUUAGGGAAGAACAUAUGUGUAAGUAACUGUGCACAUCUUGACGGUACCUAAUCAGAAAGCCACGGCUAACUACGUGCCAGCAGCCGCGGUAAUACGUAGGUGGCAAGCGUUAUCCGGAAUUAUUGGGCGUAAAGCGCGCGUAGGCGGUUUUUUAAGUCUGAUGUGAAAGCCCACGGCUCAACCGUGGAGGGUCAUUGGAAACUGGAAAACUUGAGUGCAGAAGAGGAAAGUGGAAUUCCAUGUGUAGCGGUGAAAUGCGCAGAGAUAUGGAGGAACACCAGUGGCGAAGGCGACUUUCUGGUCUGUAACUGACGCUGAUGUGCGAAAGCGUGGGGAUCAAACAGGAUUAGAUACCCUGGUAGUCCACGCCGUAAACGAUGAGUGCUAAGUGUUAGGGGGUUUCCGCCCCUUAGUGCUGCAGCUAACGCAUUAAGCACUCCGCCUGGGGAGUACGACCGCAAGG
rnacentral:rRNA from 1 species